rnacentral:lncRNA from 1 species
GACAGCUCUUCCUGCAUCUGUUGAUUCUUGGUUGCCUUCAACUCAAAGUAAUCCUUACACCAAAGCAACAUAUUCUGAUCCCCUUCAACGGAAAGUGCUGAGCACCAGCUGUGGUCCCACUCCCAUCCACCCUCCCAGAUUGUACACCAGAGAAGAUGCAGAGCCCUUCAUGGACUUCCUACUGCCUUCAGGGAAGCAAAAAAUGUCAGCUGCACUGUGAAGUGAAGAAUGAACCUCCAUCAAAAGAGGUCUGACCUCUGUCAUCGGCUGCUGAGAGAUAAUCUCUAGUGUCUUUCUUCUCCUGGGAGCAGUGGAUACUCUAACAGUGUGAUUUAAGGUGGGGGCUGUCCACGCCAGAAAGUCAACAACGCAACUUAGGGCCCAGGUUUUGGGUUUCCCUGGAUCAGCGGCCUGGAGACUGAGAUCAACCAUGUGGGCAAUCAAUCAAUCAUGCCUGUGUAAUGGAGCCCCAGUAAAAGCCAAACACCAAGGCUUGGGUGAGCUUCCCUGGUUGGCAAUACUCUGUGCAUAUGGUCACACAUGAAUGUCACACACUGAUGUCACAUACACGUCCUGGAUCUCCAGGGAGAAGAUUCUAGAAACCCUGCCUUUGGAACCCUCCUG